UGCAGUCGUACGAGAAGGUUCCUUCGGGAACUGGAGAGUGGCGCACGGGUGAGUAACGCGUGGGGACCUACCUCUUAGUGGGGGAUAACGGUUGGAAACGACCGCUAAUACCGCAUACGCCCUUCGGGGGAAAGAUUUAUCGCUAAGAGAUGGACCCGCGUUGGAUUAGAUAGUUGGUGAGGUAAUGGCUCACCAAGUCGGCGAUCCAUAGCUGGUUUGAGAGGAUGAUCACCCACACUGGGACUGAGACACGGCCCANACUCCUACGGGAGGCAGCAGUGGGGAAUAUUGGACAAUGGGGGCAACCCUGAUCCAGCCAUGCCGCGUGAGUGAAGAAGGCCUUCGGGUUGUAAAGCUCUUUCAGAUGCGAAGAUGAUGACGGUAACAUCACAAGAAGCCCCGGCUAAUUUCNUGCCAGCAGCCCCGGUAAUACGAACGGGGUAAGCGUUGUUUGGAUUUACUGGNCGUAAAGGGCACGCACGCGGUCUUGCCAGUCAGGGGUGAAAGCCCGGGGCUCUACCCCGGAACUGCCUUUGAUACUGCAAGACUAUAGACUAGGAGAGGGNGGUGGAAUUCCCCCA
rnacentral:rRNA from 1 species